GUGAGAAGACGGAGGAAGAGGCCCUGGCUGGGGCAAAUGAGGAGGAGGUGGGGCCGGGAACUGAGAAGGUGCAGGAGGAGGCUGCCUGCAUUGACGAGGCAGAGGAGGAGGCAGGCCCAUCCCUUGAAAAUGACGAGGAGUCCCCAGCCAGCGACCUGGUUGAGCAGGAAGACCAGCUUGCCCCCAAGGUGGACGGGAUGGACGAUGAAAGCCUAUGUUUCAUGGAGAGUCUGAGUGACAGCAACCAUGAUGAAAGUGAUACAGGUAAGAACAGCUCUCAGGUAGGAGCCAAUGGGAGAGGGAUCCCGGGACACUUGGGUGACGCCUGCUGCUUGGAGUGUGGGGCAGGUGAGUCUGAAACUUAAAAACAGAAAGAAAUUGAUGUAAAGAUGUUCACCGCCUACUUUAAUAAGGAGAGGGAGCAGAUAUGAGAUGCCUGAAUGUUGGCAUCUGUGCUCACCUUGUGUGGAAGGGUCUCAGUCCAUGGAGCAGAGGGAAGGUCUGGGCACCUGGAGGAAAAACCAGGGUGAUGCUCUGUACCCGUAGUCACCUCAGGGAAGCCGGAGAAACGGGAGGGCCACUCUUUCUAACUCCUUGAUUCCCCUGAUGGUGUGUUUCUACAGACUCAGUGGUGGAGAGCCUGAGCAGCCGCCAGGAUGAGGAGGCUGCAGGUAGGGAAGAGCACGCAGCUGGGAUCCAGUGGGAGAGGGUUCCUGGGAGCACCUGGGUUCCGCCUGCUGCCGGGAGAGGGAGGAAGUGGGGGAUAGGACUUGGCGGGUGGGUGGGUGGGUGGCCUAAUGAGUGGCACUCUGCUGUGGUGUUUUCCCC
rnacentral:lncRNA from 1 species